GUGCUCAGUUUGGCAGUACACAUACUAAAACUGGAACAAUAGAGAAGAUAAGCAUGGCCCCUGCAAAAGGAUGACAUGCAAAUUUGUGAAGCGUUCCAUGUUUUA
ensembl:snRNA U6 U6 spliceosomal RNA